rnacentral:misc_RNA from 1 species
UUGACCUUAAUCAGUUUCUAAUAGAUAGUGCAAUGAUUAGCGAUGAUUGUGUGCACAAGAUAGAACUAGAUAAUCUAGAGAACGGCGAAAUUAUAAAGCACACGAUACUACUAAUUAAGGGGCACAUUCGUCAACAGCGACAGGCCAAAAAGUGUAGAGAGCAACACAUUUUAUUACGAGUAAGGCAUGACGCUAGCGUUCUAGACGCAACUUGGGAGUUGCAGAUACAAUCGAAAAUUUCCAGAACCGGUCAGUUCAAACUACUUUGUGAUUUUGCUCAGCAUGAACUUGAGACAGUCUGCACACGAACACCACUGAUACUAAAUUUUAGUUACUGCAACAUCGUAUAUCAAUGCGAGAUCCUGUAUGAAUCUACCGCUUACAGCAAAAACAAUUAUCGUCUGCAAGCAUUGUACAUCACAUGUGUGAAUCAGAAGCCUUUAGCGGCGGAGCAAGUGCAUGAAAAUUGUGAAAAAAUCAAUUUGAAUCUACGCUUGGUGCAGUCUGUAUAUGCCGAACAGUUGCGAUCUGCUGGUUACGGUAGAAGAACUUUUACAUUGAACAGCGAUUGUAAAGUAUUUGAAUCAUGCUUAACAUGUGAAGAAGUUUGGGAGCAGUCUGAGGAAAGUUUGUGGCAAAAUUUUGCAAAAGAAAUACUUAACUCGUCUACUUGGGGUGGUGAGGAAAAAUUGAAAUUUGUUGCGUUCAUUGGUUGUACAAAAUAUGAUGGUGCAGCCGUAGCAGUCACAGGAGAUUUCUCUUAUUCAAACAUACGUAAACAUUUGAAAGGCCACGCAGCACUAGGUGGUGGUGGUCUAGCGCUUUUUGGUGCAGCCUAUUUAUAUGCAUGGCCACGGAGCUUUAACGAAAUCAACGCAUGUUUUGGCAGCAACAAGUUGAUUGAUCUGACACAAUUACCAGACGAUAGCAACUAUCGGCGUACAUAUGGCGGUGUUUAUGCAACUACUUUAGGUGCCGUAGUGCAUGAAAUUGGACACACUUUCGACUUGGGUCAUACUAAAGAUGGUGUGAUGGGCAAUGGUGUCGAUUAUAUUAAUCGUGUUUUUACAAUAGACAAUUUGACCGAACAUCUACCGGAAAGAGUGAUACAGCGACCGCUACCAGAAUUGCGUACUGACAUCGCGACGCGUCCACGUUUCACGCAGCUCAAACGUGCAACGAACACUUUUUUGGAAAAGUAUCACGAACAGAAGAUAAAUGACUCAUUUUACUUUACGCCAAAUUGUGCAAUUAUUUUAGCUCAUAAUAAAUGGUUUGGAAAUUCGAACGACUAUAAUGCUGAAGAGAAUACGGUUGAUGCUACAAUAACCUAUGAUGCUGUUAAUAGCUGUGUGAUUGUUGAGGGACACGAGAAUCCGCUCCGUCUGAUAGAGGUGCGUAGUAUUGAUAACAGUUUAGUGAAAUAUUGGUAUGAGCCACAGUCAAACAAAGAGUGCAGUGAAAUUUAUAAAUUCUACUUGCCAAAGGAAGCGGUUAAAGCGCUCGGAGAGAAUCAUUAUUUGUUUGUGCUAACACGGUCGGGCAUAACAAAGCGUUUUUGUGAGCAUUAAAAUUGUUUUAUACAAUUAAAAUUAAAUGUGUUUAAGUGCCACUGUGCUUCAAAAAUAAACAUGGCUAUUUCACCGAAAUUAAUCUAAAACUGAACACGAAUGGUUUGAAGAAAUUUAAUAUUUAUUUACAUAGCAGUAACGUUUUUUUGAUUAAAAACAAUCUAUAUAUUCUUUUGAUGGUAAACAAAUCGGUAAUCAGAGUCACAAUAUCAACACUCACAAGCAAACACACUCACUUACAGCAAUAUAAAACAAAAUACAUGUAAAAUAGUAAUCUGUGCUAUAAUAAGCCAUACAUAAGUAUGUAUUUACAAUAAUUACAACAAUAGUUGAACGAAGUGGAGCUACUCGAAAGUAACCGCAAAACAAGAGAGCAACCUUUCUUUGAAAACCUUGAUGAAAUAAAUAAACGAGUUAAUUGUGUAUUAGCGCUUAACCAGCAGUUUGCUAGUUGUCGCCUUGACGCCGCCAAAGUCACACUCACGCAAGUAGCUUGUCAGCCACGUUAGCAGUUAAAAAAAAA